UACGUAGGUGGCAAGCGUUGUCCGGAUUUACUGGGCGUAAAGGGCGUGCAGGCGGUCUGUUAAGUCUAGGGUGAAAGCUCCCGGCUCAACUGGGAGAGGUCCUUGGAUACUGGCGGACUUGAGGGAGGCAGAGGAAAGUGGAAUUCCCGGUGUAGUGGUGAUAUGCGUAGAUAUCGGGAGGAACACCAGUGGCGAAGGCGGCUACCUGGACAGAUACUGACACUGAGGCGCGAGAGCGUGGGGAGCAAACAGGAUUGAGAUACC
rnacentral:rRNA from 1 species